rnacentral:rRNA from 1 species
GUGGAGUACGGUCGCAAGACUAAAACAUAAAGGAAUUGACGGGGACCCGCACAAGCGGUGGAGCGUGUUGUUUAAUUCGAUGGUAAGCGAAGAACCUUACCCAGACUUGACAUCCUUGGAAGCACUGCGAAAGCAGAGUGUGCCUCCGGGAACCAAGUGACAGGUGUUGCAUGGCCGUCGUCAGCUCGUGUCGUGAGAUGUUUGGUUAAGUCCAUCAACGAGCGCAACCCUUGUGGCUAGUUGAAUUUUUCUAGUCAGACUGCCCUGGUAACAGGGAGGAAGGAGGGGAUGAUGUCAGGUCAGUAUUACCCUUACGUCUGGGGCUACAAACACGCUACAAUGGCCGGUACAAAGGGCUGCCAAGUCGCGAGACGGAGCAAAUCCCAUCAAAACCGGUCCCAGUUCGGAUUGCAGGCUGAAACUCGCCUGCAUGAAGUCGGAAUCGCUAGUAACGGUAGGUCAGCACACUACCGUGAAUACGUUCCCGGGUCUUGUACACACCGCCCGUCAAACCAUGAAAGUC